AGAUUAAACUGAAGAGUUUGAUCCUGGCUCAGAUUGAACGCUGGCGGCAUGCUUUACACAUGCAAGUCGAACGGCAGCGCGGGGCAACCUGGCGGCGAGUGGCG
rnacentral:rRNA from 1 species